AGUGAACACUGGCGGUAGGCCUAACACAUGCAAGUCGAACGGCAGCACAGGAGAGCUUGCUCUCUGGGUGGCGAGUGGCGGACGGGUGAGGAAUACAUCGGAAUCUGCCCAGUCGUGGGGGAUAACGUAGGGAAACUUACGCUAAUACCGCAUACGACCUUCGGGUGAAAGAGGGGGAUCGCAAGACCUCUCGCGAUUGGAUGAGCCGAUGUCGGAUUAGCUAGUUGGCGGGGUAAUGGCCCACCAAGGCGACGAUCCGUAGCUGGUCUGAGAGGAUGAUCAGCCACACUGGAACUGAGACACGGUCCAGACUCCUACGGGAGGCAGCAGUGGGGAAUAUUGGACAAUGGGCGCAAGCCUGAUCCAGCCAUACCGCGUGGGUGAAGAAGGCCUUCGGGUUGUAAAGCCCUUUUGUUGGGAAAGAAAUCUUUCAGGCUAAUACCCUGGGAGGAUGACGGUACCCAAAGAAUAAGCACCGGCUAACUUCGUG
rnacentral:rRNA from 1 species